CGAAUGGCGUAACGACUUCCCCACUGUCUCCAGCAUAGACUCAGUGAAAUUGAACUCUCCGUGAAGAUGCGGAGUUCCUGCGGUCAGACGGAAAGACCCCGUGAACCUUUACUAUAGCUUCACAGUGGACUUUGAUCUUAUUUGUGUAGGAUAGGUGGGAGGCUUUGAAGCGUUAUCGCUAGAUAGCGUGGAGCCAACCUUGAAAUACCACCCUGGCAACUUUGAGGUUCUAACUCAGGUCCGUUAUCCGGAUCGAGGACAGUGUAUGGUGGGUAGUUUGACUGGGGCGGUCUCCUCCUAAAGAGUAACGGAGGAACGCGAUGGUACCCUCAGUACGGUUGGAAAUCGUACGAUGCGUGUAAAGGCAUAAGGGUGCUUGACUGCGAGACAGACAUGUCGAGCAGGUACGAAAGUAGGUCUUAGUGAUCCGG
rnacentral:rRNA from 1 species